CACGUAGGGCGCAAGCGUUGUCCGGAAUUAUUGGGCGUAAAGAGCUCGUAGGCGGUCUGUCGCGUCGAAUGUGAAAACCCGGGGCUCAACUCCGGGCUUGCAUUCGAUACGGGCAGACUAGAGUUCGGUAGGGGAGACUGGAAUUCCUGGUGUAGCGGUGAAAUGCGCAGAUAUCAGGAGGAACACCGGUGGCGAAGGCGGGUCUCUGGGCCGAUACUGACGCUGAGGAGCGAAAGCGUGGGGAGCAAACAGG
rnacentral:rRNA from 1 species